rnacentral:lncRNA from 1 species
AUGGCAUUGCCAUGGAGGGAGCCGGGCAUCACUGUGAUAGGUGGCAGACAUCACUGUGCUGGGCACCGCAGCACGAUGCUCACCGCACUGCGGUCCAGAACACCGGGUACACCGCACAUCACUGCAACGCUGUGUUCCGGGGGAUCACCAGGCACCGGGGUGCGGGAGGACCAGGGCUGGUGCCCUGCAGACCGAGGUGUGGAGCUGCCGUGCCUCGAGCCCACCCUGUGGCUCGUGGGCAGCACGUGGCGGUGUCCCCGCGGCUCCGGUGGCAGCAGUGUCGCGGACACUGGCACCGCGGUGCUGGCACUGCUGCGGCUGCAUCCUGCACCCUCGGGCACCGGCUCUGCUGGCCCCGGUGGCUGGCAAGUGUGGCUGCAGCCCGUGGUGAGCAGAGGCACUGACCGCAGAGGAGAGUCUGGGAUUGAGCAACCUGCGGUGAGAGCAGCCGGUUUCACGCCCCGGACCCUGGAGAACACCACUGUACCCCGUAUUGGACCGCUCCGGGCUGAGCAUCUGCUCUCACACAGCCCCCUGGCCCGGGGUGUGUUUGCAGGCACUCGUGAGCCUUUUCUGAGCCGGGCAGAGAUGUCAGAACCCCCCCGGUGUCGAAGGGGUCUGCCGGAGGUUUACCGGGUGCCGGGCCCCCUCUGCCGGCUCCGGGAGUGCUCACAAGUAGCCAAUUCUGCUGGUAGCACCCUGGCUGAGCCCCAUACACGGCACCCUUGGGUGUCCUGGCCCUCAGAGCUCGGGGCAGUGCACAUUUCUGGUGCCGUGGGGCAGCCAGGUCACCCCGCCCACCCAUCAGACGUGCUUUGGCAGCCAAACGUGUUGCAUGGGGUCGGUGCAAGCCAUGUCUGCGGUGCAGAGCAGCAGCACUGGGUCCUUGGCCAGGACGGCGAGUGCUGCCGGGCUUUGUCCGGAGCCGGGGCAGCGGAGGCAGCCCGAGCUCUCUCCCUCCCUCUUUGGUCGGGUUGCACGCUCGGCUGCCUCUGUAAACCGAGCUUGCUGCUUUACAGCGGUGCUCAGCCACUUCUCUCCCCUGCACACCUAUGUAGGUUUUCCCAGUACUCCCUGUUCAAAGGACACCCUGGGAUCCCAUUUCUCCAGCUGCCCCGUCCCCAACUUGGUCUCGGGCCAGGUGCUCCCCUCAAUGGGCACCCCCACAAUGGGCAGCAGAGGUGGAUGUGGUGCUGUGUUGGUGUGAGCCAGGCGGGAGGAUGA